rnacentral:rRNA from 1 species
GGGAAUGGAAAGACCGGUACAAGCGAGGUAGGUGUACAACAGGCAAAUCCGUUGUAUAAUCCGAAGACGUGAUGUGGAGCGAAAUAAAGUAGUGAAGCGUGUGAGCCAUGUGCCGAGAAAAGCUGCUAUUGUGUAAUGCGUGCCCGUACCGUAAACCGACACAGGUGGAUGAGGAGAGAAUCCUAAGGCCGACGGAAGAAGCAUUGUUAAGGAAUUCGGCAAAAUGACCCCGUAACUUCGGGAGAAGGGGUGCCUGCGAGAGCAGGCCGCAGAGAAUAGGCUCAAGCAACUGUUUAGCAAAAACACAGGUCUAUGCGAAACCGAAAGGUGAGGUAUAUGGGCUGACGCCUGCCCGGUGCUGGAAGGUUAAGAGGAGAGGUUAGCGCAAGCGAAGCUUUGAAUUUAAGCCCCAGUAAACGGCGGCCGUAACUAUAACGGUCCUAAGGUAGCGAAAUUCCUUGUCGGGUAAGUUCCGACCCGCACGAAAGGCGUAAUGAUUUGAGCGCUGUCUCGACAAUGCAUCCGGUGAAAUUGAAGUACCAGUGAAGAUGCUGGUUACCUGCGCCAGGACGGAAAGACCCCAUGGAGCUUUACUCCAGCUUGAUACUGGGAUUCGGUAUUGCAUGUACAGGAUAGGUGGGAGGCUAGGAAAUGGUAACGCCAGUUGCCAUGGAGCCAAUGUUGGGAUACCACCCUUGCAGUACUGGGUUUCUAACCAGCAGCCGUGACCCGGCUGGGGGACAAUGUCAGGUGGGGAGUUUGACUGGGGCGGUCGCCUCCGAAAGGGUAUCGGAGGCGCUCAAAGGUUCCCUCAGAAUGGUUGGAAACCAUUCGAAGAGUGCAAAGGCAGAAGGGAGCUUGACUGCGACACCGACGGGUGGAGCAGGUACGAAAGUAGGACUUAGUGAUCCGGUGGUAUAAAGUGGGAUUGCCAUCGCUCAACGGAUAAAAGCUACCCUGGGGAUAACAGGCUUAUCACUCCCAAGAGUUCACAUCGACGGAGUGGUUUGGCACCUCGAUGUCGGCUCAUCGCAUCCUGGGGCUGUAGUAGGUCCCAAGGGUUGGGCUGUUCGCCCAUUAAAGCGGUACGCGAGCUGGGUUCAGAACGUCGUGAGACAGUUCGGUCCCUAUCCGGCGCGGGCGGAGGAUAUUUGAGAGGAGCUGUCCUUAGUACGAGAGGACCGGGAUGGACGGACCACUGGUGUAUCUGUUGUCGACCAACGGCAUGGCAGAGUAGCCAAGUCUGGAAGGGAUAAACGCUGAAGGCAUCUAAGCGUGAAGCCCCCCUCAAGAUGAGAUAUCCCAUUCGAAAGAAGUAAGACCCCUUGAAGACGACGAGGUAGAUAGGGCAGAGGUGGAAGUGCAGUAAUGCAUGGAGCUGACUGUUACUAAUCGGUCGAGGGCUUGACCU